rnacentral:lncRNA from 1 species
ACAGCUCAGGAGAGACUGUCACCAGUGUGACCAGCUUAUCCCCACUGCAGCCACAGAAGGGUAGGAGGCAUAAGAAGAAGGCAGAUGUUCCACCUGCGGUCCCUGCCAAAGCACCGAUAGCCACCACUUUCCACAAACCAAAGCUGCUGAAACCACAGAGGAAAGUCACCCUGCCCAAGAUCACCGAGGAAAACUUGACCUACGCCGAGCUGGAGCUGAUCAAACCACACCAGGCUGCCAAAGGCAUCCCCACCAGCACCGUGUAUGCACAGAUCCUCUUCGAGGAGAACAAGCUGUAGUGAUGGCUUCCUCUCUGGCUGUCACCUGCGCUCCCAGUUAUUUAUGACACUCAGAAACAAAUGCCCCAGUUUUGUAUUUUCACCUGUGCCUUCAACGUGAUGGGGGAGCCUCUUCUGGCAGCCUUCUGGUGUCUUCUACGAGGUACACACUUCCCAGAAGAGAAGGGACCGGCCAGCCCUUGGCCAUGUCUCUGGCCUGAUCCUGAGUGCAAGGACUCUGCUUCUGAGAGCAUCUGCUGAGCCAAUCGUAUCACCCUCUUCUCUUCUUGAGCCUUAAAGUUUUGGGAGGGAAAUUAAAUCUUGAUUCUAAUCUGCCACUCUUGCUCUGUCUAAGACAUCAAGAGCCCAGUUUAUAGCCACAGGAAAUGCCUGUAAAGGUCACAGAGAAAGGUGGGAUGUAUGGACUCACUAGUUCUCUGAGGCUCUGGGACACCCAGGGAGCAGCAAGCCACUGGUGGUGAUGGCAGCAGCUACUCAUGAUGGCAUCCAUUGUUUUUAAUGAUCCUCUGAAGCUGGCCAUGUGAGGGCAGGGGUGCUGACGGUUGAAAGCCUGAGGUCUGACUCAGAAAAUUCUGGUGCCUAUGUCUUUAGACCCAUAGUCCACCAGGGCUGUGGAGCUACAAGAACAGCAUUGUAAAGUGUUUGUCCCCCUUUGGCAGAAUGGACCUAGACUCCUAGGAAGACAUCGUUCUCUCUUUUCCUAAGACUCGAGUACUGUUCCAGUGGGUACAUCACGUAAGUGAGAAAAGUGUGCCGAGCUCGGUCAGCUCCCAUUCCAGAGAGAGCAGAGCCUUUCGCCAUUCCCUCAGCAUAGAAGUGAAAGGACAAGCCACACUGGGGAAACUAUGUCCAGGAGGAACCAACUCUUGACAAGUGCUUUGGCCAUCUCAGCCUUGGAUGAGAAGCAUGAUGGCCUUGGGUGGCUGUCAGGGGACCUUGGGACAUAAGUCCAUGGGGGAAGUUGCUCUGUGGACCUAAACAAUGUACAAAAAUGUUAGACUUAAUAGAAGUAAGAGAGUCACCUUGAUUUCCAAAGUGCUAUUAACGAUGCUUCCUGAUGUAUGUGUACUCCGGUGGCCCCUUACCAUACUCUAUAAACAUUGUUUGGCUUGUAAUUUUACAAUGUACAUAUGAUAAAUUAUCUAUUUUAAACACA